rnacentral:rRNA from 1 species
UACGGGGGGGGCAAGCGUUGUUCGGAAUUACUGGGCGUAAAGGGCUCGUAGGUGGCCAACUAAGUCGGACGUGAAAUCCCUCAGCUUAACUGGGGAACUGCGUCCGAUACUGGAUGGCUUGAGUUUGGGAGAGGGAUGCGGAAUUCCGGGUGUAGCGGUGAAAUGCGUAGAUAUCCGGAGGAACACCGGUGGCGAAGGCGGCUUCCUGGACCGAUCACUGACGCUGAGGCGCGAAAGCUAGGGGAGCAAACGGG